rnacentral:misc_RNA from 1 species
GUCAAUAUUAUCGGAUGUGUUAUAAAAAUUAUUUGUAUUACGCCAGUGAAAUUCCGAAUCGAUCUGCAAAUCAUCUACGAAGAAUAUACUUGCAGCAAAUUGUGUAACAUUUAUACAGAUUUUCGGAUUCGUUUCAAACCUGUGCGAUGUAAUCGCGAUAAUCGCGGCUUGUUAUAGGAAAUUGCAAAUUUUCCAAUGUUUCACGUGGCGUAAUAUAUUCGUGAAAGCUUUCUAUCGGUGCUUGAAUACUUUCGUCGACGAUUGUACAACGAAACUUAAAAUACUGCGCGAAGGAAUCGCAAAAGGUGAAGCGCGAUUUGAUGAGAAUAUUUAUGGCCGUUGGGGCGAGAAUUAUUUUUGAAAUUUUCAAGCAACGGCCUCGACCGAAAUCUUUAAAAGAGUCGGCGAUCUCGCG